rnacentral:rRNA from 1 species
UACGAAGGGGAGCUAGCGUUGCUCGGAAUUACUGGGCGUAAAGCGCACGUAGGCGGAUCGUUAAGUCGGGGGUGAAAUCCUGGAGCUCAACUCCAGAACUGCCUUCGAUACUGGCGAUCUCGAGUUCGGGGAGAGGUGAGUGGAACUGCGAGUGUAGAGGUGAAAUUCGUAGAUAUUCGCAAGAACACCAGUGGCGAAAGGCGGCCUCACUGGCCCGAUACUGACGCUGAGGUGACGAAAGCGUGGGGAGCAAACAGG